rnacentral:rRNA from 1 species
ACCCGCACAAGCGGUGGAUGAUGUGGUUUAAUUCGAUGCAACGCGAAGAACCUUACCUGGGUUUGACAUAUAGGUUGUAGGGAACUGAAAAGGGACCGACCCUUCGGGAGCCUAUACAGGUGUUGCAUGGCUGUCGUCAGCUCGUGUCGUGAGAUGUUCGGUUAAGUCCGCUAACGAGCGCAACCCUCGUCGUAUGUUAUAUGUGUCAUACGAGACUGCCGGUAAAAGCCGGAGGAAGGUGAGGAUGAUGUCAAGUCAGCAUGACCUUUAUAUCCAGGGCUACACACACGCUACAAUGGUCUGUACAAUGGGUAGCCAAGCCGCGAGGCGGAGCCAAUCCUGAAAGCAGGCCUCAGUUCAGAUUGCAGUCUGCAACUCGACCGCAUGAAGCCGGAGUUGCUAGUAACCGCAGGUCAGCUAUACUGCGGUGAAUACGUUCCCGGGCCUU